UUGGUGAAACCAACUUCAUUGAAGUUAUUCUGUGGUAUUUCAUCAUAGGAUUGUUGAGGGGACUCAGCCAGAAAGGGCGACCUCUGCAGCGAGCUUUGUCUGUGUUAGUUUUGUUACAUGCAUAUGUUCUUUUGGGGGUGGCAUGUAAUUCUAUUUUGAAUCUAAAUCUGUAUUACGUUUUUAUUUAAUUGUAGUUUCCCUUGAAAAGAUUAGUUAAAGUUUUAUGAAUCAUGAUUUGUGAA